GGAAAACACUCAGAUCUAACAGUCCAUUUCACCUGGGAAAGGUACGUGACAUUUCAAUCUUACAAAAUGGUGCUAACUGGGCGUAGGCAAGUCAAAUUCAAAAACAUAUUGUUCAUAUAAUGUAUUAUACGAUUCGUAUAUCGUGGUUAUUUUACCAUUUGUAAAAAUGUAAUGUAUCAUAGUUCUAAAUCGUUUUUCAUAAUAUCAGAACAUUUGUUGUUUUCAAAAUUACAAUGGGCUCCUGCUUCCUGUGUAAUUUGGUAUGAAACCACUGAACAUACUUUUCUUAACAUUUAUAUUAUGAACUGAAUUCAGUUAUAGCAUAAUAAUAACAUACCUGUUGAACAAAGCAACACACUAGAAUGAGAGAAAUUAUUAAAAGAGAAAGUGAGACAUUAUUAUUAUGAAUAAUUGGUAUUAUUAUUGUUAUUAAUUAAAUCACCUGACUGUUUGGAUAUAUCUGUUAGUAAAUGCUUUAUUUGUAAGAGAUAAUUAAUAAUCUAGAACAAUUGACCUUCAAGAACUGUGUUGACCACAAUCAACAUGUCGGAUCUCUGUUUAGGGGUUUGUGCUCUAAAAUGAGUCUCUCUGGGGAGAAAGAGGAGGACGGCCCUGCCUCUAAAAGGAUUGUCUUUGGGGAACAUGGCACCAAAUCUAAGAGGGGUUUGUGCUCUAAAAUGAGUCUCUCUGGGGAGAAAGAGGAGGACGGCCCUGCCUCUAAAAGGAUUGUCUUUGGGGAACAUGGCACCAAAUCUAAGAGGUGAGAGGACAAUUUUCUAAAGAUUUUAUGAAGAGUUUAUAUCCAAAACACUAUAUCCACCAUCUUUUCACAUUUGUGUUUUUUCAUCAGAAAUAAAGGCUUAUGGGUGUGUAAAAUA